GCGCGAUUUAUCCCCUGCAGCUGUCAGUGAAAGGAGCAGCAGACUCUCCAGCUUCACACUGCAGCGCCGCUCAGGAAGAGGAUAAUUAUCUGCUGACAAAUUAAGGAACCAAUGAUGUCCGGGUGUCCGACUCUGCAGAGAAGAUGUAGCUGGAAGAAGUCCUGACGUCUGGACCGGAUGAGGAAGAAAAGGAAAGACGUCACUCAGGGAUCAAUUUAUGUGGACAGGCAGGGCACUUCCUGUACCAAGCAUCGGCCUGACGAAGCGUUUUGGCGCAUAAACGGUCCGUCGCCGCUCUUUGUACCCCCGCGUCCAUUCCAUCCUCCUCUGCAUGUAUCCCGACUGGUCAAUAUGAUCAAUAAAGAAGCCAUUUACUUACCUGCAAAUAUUUCUGUCAUUAUACCACCGUUCCAAGAUGGUCACCUAUAUUGAAAAAACUGAGACAUUUUUACUGUGUUGAUGAUAACUUGCCACAGUAUCUUGAACACCAUGGUGAGAAGAAGGUGCCAGUGUUAUUGAGUGCCAUGGAGGGAAAGAUUUAUGCUGUGCAGUCUGACGGCCCCUAUGAAGUCGGCUGAAUGCAACUAUGCAGAUCAUAUCAAAAUCAUAAAGAAGCACCUGCCAUCGAUUGGUAAACAAAAUUUAGAUUUUGCAAAUAUAACCAAAUUAAUUGUGAAUCUUUUCUGGCCUAUAUGGCAAAACUGAAAAGACUGUCUGAAAAUUGCCCGUUUGCAGCACGUCGCAGUGAUGCUUUGAGAGAUUAUCUAGUGUGUAGGAUUGUGAAGAAAAACAUCCAGAAAAACUUUUAACAGAGCCCAAUUUAACAUUAAAGACGGCGCUGGACA